AUGGGAAGAAAAGCACCCCACCUUCCAGUGGCAUUUUGGUCAUCUCAGAAAAGUGGAGUCAGCUUGGGCCAACAAAAAAAGCCAAGAAUAGUUAAGAACAUGGGAAAAAACAAGCUUGGCAGACCAAAUCCUGCUGCUCUGACCUGUCUGGGAGUCUGCAACCUGCAAAGUGAACUGUUCAGCUACCUGCUCAGUCCAGGUCAGCCAGGUAAUGCACAGAUCUGUGCUUAUCAAACACCUGACUGUGGUGCUAAAAUUUCAGUGCAUAAAUCAAGCCACAGAAUAAAUAUUUGGGGUUUGAACAUUUCUUCUGAGGAAUUCAACAAACAAAAGGCAUAAUCUUCUUCUGAUUAUUCAUUUUUUUUUAAUAUUUGCCCAGGCCAAGCUAUCUUGGAGAUCACUGUUGAAACCCAAGGUUAUGGUAAUUUUCACAACUCGUGAUAAAUGAUGUCUUUGUUCUAUGGGAAUGAAUAAUUGCAUAUAGAAACACUGUAAUCUUGAGUUACAAUUGGAAAAAAAAUUCAGUUAUUGCAGUGCAUAACAAAUUUUAAAAAUGUUUUACUGUCUCAUGGUGCUGCAAAAAUCUCUCCAUAGGAACUGUGGGAAAAUGCUGAAGGUGAUUUAACAGAAAUGCCACCCCAUGUGUAAAGGUUUGAAUUGCAUUAUUUUGAUCUGAAUGCCAAAAAUGUAUAACUGCAUUCUUUUUCUACUCUGACAGAGCAUCUGUAACGGAAAUUUGAAGUCUAUAUUCAAGACUGUUUUCGACCCCUGAAGUAAGGACAAGAAGUUUGAAUGAAUAUAGAGUCCUGAGUUGAACCUUUGCCCUCUGCCUUACCCCAUUCUGCUCAUUAUUCUGUUUCAAUCUGCUGUUAAAGGAUUCUCCCAUCAGCUUUCAAAUAUCUAAGCAUUACAUAUAAAACUCUGUGUGUUCAAAUAAAAUUAAUCUCCAAUGUGCCA
rnacentral:lncRNA from 1 species